rnacentral:rRNA from 1 species
CUCCUGGAAACGGGUGGUAAUGCCGGAUGCUCCGACUCCUCGCAUGGGGUGUCGGGAAAGAUUUCAUCGGUAUGGGAUGGGGUCGCGUCCUAUCAGGUAGUCGGCGGGGUAACGGCCCACCGAGCCUACGACGGGUAGCCGGCCUGAGAGGGCGACCGGCCACAUUGGGACUGAGAUACGGCCCAGACUCCUACGGGAGGCAGCAGUGGGGAAUAUUGCACAAUGGGCGCAAGCCUGAUGCAGCGACGCCGCGUGCGGGAUGACGGCCUUCGGGUUGUAAACCGCUUUUGAUCGGGAGCAAGCCUUCGGGUGAGUGUACCUUUCGAAUAAGCACCGGCUAACUACGUGCCAGCAGCCGCGGUAAUACGUAGGGUGCAAGCGUUAUCCGGAAUUAUUGGGCGUAAAGGGCUCGUAGGCGGUUCGUCGCGUCCGGUGUGAAAGUCCAUCGCUUAACGGUGGAUCUGCGCCGGGUACGGGCGGGCUGGAGUGCGGUAGGGGAGACUGGAAUUCCCGGUGUAACGGUGGAAUGUGUAGAUAUCGGGAAAGAACACCA